rnacentral:rRNA from 1 species
UGGGGAAUAUUGCACAAUGGGCGCAAGCCUGAUGCAGCCAUGCCGCGUGUAUGAAGAAGGCCUUCUGGUUGUAAAGUACUUUCAGUCGGGAGGAAGGUGGUAAGGUUAAUAACCUUGGCAAUUGACGUUACCGACAGAAGAAGCACCGGCUAACUCCGUGCCAGCAGCCGCGGUAAUACGGAGGGUGCAAGCGUUAAUCGGAAUUACUGGGCGUAAAGCGCACGCAGGCGGUUGAUUGAGUCAGAUGUGAAAUCCCCGGGCUUAACCCGGGAAUUGCAUCUGAUACUGGUCAGCUAGAGUCUUGUAGAGGGGGGUAGAAUUCCAUGUGUAGCGGUGAAGUGCGUAGAGAUGUGGAGGAAUACCGGUGGCGAAGGCGGCCCCCUGGACAAAGACUGACGCUCAGGUGCGAAAGCGUGGGGAGCAAACAGG